UUGCAUGCUAUGCCUCUGUUAAUGCAACCUAAAAUUCCAUUUGCUUUUUUUGCAACAACAUCUCAUGCUGACUCAUGUUGAGGUUGUGAUUCACCACAACUCCCAGAUCCUUCUCAACAGUGCUGCUAGCAAGCCAGUUUUCCCCAUUCUGUAUUUAUGAUUUGGUUUUUCCUCCUUAAGUGUAGCACCUCAUUUAUUUUUCAUAAAUAGAAAGGGAAG